AGCAGCCGCGGUAAUUCCAGCUCCAAUAGCGUAUAUUAAAGUUGUUGCAGUUAAAAAGCUCGUAGUUGAAUUUCGGGACCAAUAUGUUGGUCGUGCCUAGGUACGUACUGGCAUUAUUGGUUUCUUCCUUCUGAAGAACCACGAUGCCAUUAAUUUGGUGUCAUGGGGAAUCAGGACUGUUACUUUGAAAAAAUUAGAGUGUUUAAAGCAGGCUCGCGCUUGGAUACAUUAGCAUGGAAUAAUGAAUUAGGACGUUUGAUUCUAUUUUGUUGGUUUCUAGGAUCGACGUAAUGAUUAAUAGGGAUAGUUGGGGGCAUUAGUAUUCAAUUGUCAGAGGUGAAAUUCUUGGAUUUAUUGAAGACUAACUACUGCGAAAGCAUUUGCCAAGGAUGUUUUCAUUAAUCAAGAACGAAAGUUAGGGGAUCGAAGACGAUCAGAUACCGUCGUAGUCUUAACCAUAAACUAUGCCGACUAGGGAUCGGAUGAUGUUAAUUUUUAAUGACUCAUUCGGCGCCUUACG
rnacentral:rRNA from 1 species